rnacentral:rRNA from 1 species
CAGUAGCCGCGGUAAUACGGAGGGGGCUAGCGUUGUUCGGAAUUACUGGGCGUAAAGCGCACGUAGGCGGCUUGGUAAGUUAGAGGUGAAAGCCUGGAGCUCAACUCCAGAAUUGCCUUUAAGACUGCCGAGCUAGUAGGUGAGAGAGGUAAGUGGAAUUCCGAGUGUAGAGGUGAAAUUCGUGGAUAUCCGCAAGAACACCAGUGGCGAAGGCGGCUCACUGGCCCGGAACUGACGCUGAGGCGCGAAAGCGUGGGGAGCAAACAGGAUUAGAUACCCCCGUAGUCCCUGUCUCUUAUAC